rnacentral:rRNA from 1 species
ACGUUAGCGGCGGACGGGUGAGUAACACGUGGGUAACCUACCUAUAAGACUGGGAUAACUUCGGGAAACCGGAGCUAAUACCGGAUAAUAUUUCUAACCGCAUGGUUCGAUAGUGAAAGGUGGUUCUGCUAUCACUUAUAGAUGGACCCGCGCCGUAUUAGCUAGUUGGUAAGGUAACGGCUUACCAAGGCGACGAUACGUAGCCGACCUGAGAGGGUGAUCGGCCACACUGGAACUGAGACACGGUCCAGACUCCUACGGGAGGCAGCAGUC